rnacentral:misc_RNA from 1 species
CCGCUAUGAGAGUACACGCAGUGGGCGACGGAUGGAGCUGAGUAUGGGGCCCAUCCAGGCUAAUCACACGGGCACAGGAAUCGGAUAUAACAUCAUCCGGGUACCCAUGGCCAGCUGUGACUUCUCCAUCCGCACCUACACCUAUGCAGACACCCCUGAUGAUUUCCAGUUGCACAACUUCAGCCUCCCAGAGGAAGAUACCAAGCUCAAGAUACCCCUGAUUCACCGAGCCCUGCAGUUGGCCCAGCGUCCCGUUUCACUCCUUGCCAGCCCCUGGACAUCACCCACUUGGCUCAAGACCAAUGGAGCGGUGAAUGGGAAGGGGUCACUCAAGGGACAGCCCGGAGACAUCUACCACCAGACCUGGGCCAGAUACUUUGUGAAGUUCCUGGAUGCCUAUGCUGAGCACAAGUUACAGUUCUGGGCAGUGACAGCUGAAAAUGAGCCUUCUGCUGGGCUGUUGAGUGGAUACCCCUUCCAGUGCCUGGGCUUCACCCCUGAACAUCAGCGAGACUUCAUUGCCCGUGACCUAGGUCCUACCCUCGCCAACAGUACUCACCACAAUGUCCGCCUACUCAUGCUGGAUGACCAACGCUUGCUGCUGCCCCACUGGGCAAAGGUGGUACUGACAGACCCAGAAGCAGCUAAAUAUGUUCAUGGCAUUGCUGUACAUUGGUACCUGGACUUUCUGGCUCC